UUUUAUGGAGAGUUUGAUCCUGGCUCAGAGUGAACGCUGGCGGCGUGCCUAAUACAUGCAAGUCGAACGAUGAAGCUUCUAGCUUGCUAGAAUGCUGAUUAGUGGCGCACGGGUGAGUAACGCAUAGGUCAUGUGCCUCUUAGUUUGGGAUAGCCAUUGGAAACGAUGAUUAAUACCAGAUACUCCCUACGGGGGAAAGAUUUAUCGCUAAGAGAUCAGCCUAUGUCCUAUCAGCUUGUUGGUAAGGUAAUGGCUUACCAAGGCUAUGACGGGUAUCCGGCCUGAGAGGG
rnacentral:rRNA from 1 species